UGCAUCGUGUGGGGAAAAUCCAGUUGCCUUGAUGUGGCAGAGUUCAAGAGUCAGUCUCUUCGAUGUAU
rnacentral:tRNA from 1 species